GGGUUGAAGCUGAGAGAUUUAAACCUGAGAGGUUUGUUAAUAGCACAAUUGAAUUCAAAGGCACGGACUUUGAAUACAUACCAUUUGGUGCUGGAAGGAGGAUGUGUCCCGGAAUUGCAUUUGCCCUACCAAACAUUGAGCUACCUCUUGCUCAAUUACUUUACCGGUUUGAUUGGAAGCUUCCCAAUAAAAUGAAGAAUGAAGAACUAGAUAUGGCUGAGUCAUUUGGGAUUACUGUAGGUAGAAAACACGACCUAUAUUUAAUUGCUAUUAAUCGUCUCUGUAAUAUGUAUUAUCUAAGCAAACAAGUUCAGAAACGAUGUUCCUAAUAAAAUUUGUAGUGGUAAACUUUACAUAUAGGUUUACUAUAUGUCGUCUAAAAUUUAUGUAUGAUAUUUGUACCACAAAUAUAGAAUAUGUGUCAAGCAUUGCAUUUGGUUUAGCCUCUUGCUGAAUUAUUUUAUGAAUUUGAUUGAAAGCUUCCCAAUGGAAUGAAUAAUGAAGAACUUGAUAUGACUGAGAGUCAUUUGGGCAUACAGUCGGAAGAAAACAUGACCUAUGUUCGGAUCUUAUUAUUGAUCGUCUAUAAUAUUUGUAUUGUCCCUUUCAAAAUAAAAUAUUUGUAUUGUCUAAGCAAACAAGUUCACAAUGUGGUUAAUUUUCUUAUAUACUUUUAGCAAGGUGUAUGAAUCGUUGUUGACAUUUUUAUUAAGAUUCUACUUUUCACAUUAGAUAUUCAAUUUAGCUCGAAAAUCCCGGAAUUUCUUCAGUUAAUCAAUUUGUUCCAACUCCUUCAUCAAAUCAACAUAUGUUAAAGCAUUUGCAUCAUUUUGCACGCCUAUUUUAGGAAGGAUAAAGAUCUCUCUCUCUCCCUCCCUCCCCCACGUAGGACCACGAGAAAGAUGUAAUAAAUUUAGAGUAUACUGAAUUUCAUUUGUUUGUCAUGUCUCACUUGGUUCUCAGCAUUUGCAAACAUGUCGGUAAGUAUGUACGAGCAUGAAACAUUACAAUCACGUUAUUCAUUGCCUAUCCGAAAUAAAUAAUCAAUAAAAUAGUUUUGGUAUUCAUUAAUUUACCAAGCUUUCUUCAUGUUUUAACUUCAGAACACAAGGAAUGAACGAUGAAAGGAAUGCAGCGAUUGUAGUAAAUUUUAAUGUUUAUACUUUGUAUUCUAUUGGUUGGUCAAUGUUUGAAUUAUUGUGGAUUAUUAGUUAUUUUUUCCAUUAUUGGGUUUGUAUGCUUCCUGCAAGUGGGAGACUAUUGGAGUUGGUUUUGAAUUAAACAUUUUUAAAACAAGUCUCACAUUGUUACGUUUCUAAUCGGUUGAGAUUUGUGGUAAUAAAGAAACAUAGUAAACUUCAACUCUUUUGUGCUGUCAAUCAAAGGAGUUUAGUUUAUAUAUAUAUAGUGUGGACUAUUAUAAUUAAUAGUAUGUCCCAUGUCAAAUGUGAUUUUAGUAAAAAAAAUAUAUAUGUAUGUUUUGUAACAAUUAAUCAUACUCAAUUGUUUGACAGAUACGAAACAUAAAUAUAUUGCUGCUCACUCUCCAUAUUGACAUGCUCUUGGUUCUCAGAAUUUGCAAACAGCUUGUUUCAUGUUUUAACUUCAGGGAACACAAUGAAUAAACGCUGAAAGGAAUGCAGCGACAAAUUGUUCAAAGAGCGCUGCUAUACAACACGACAAACUCAACACACGAAUGCUACAUAAGUUGUUGAACGACACCCAAUUCACUUUAUUAAUAGAUUUCUUUAUGGUUAUUGAUGCUUUUGUAUAUAGUAGUAUAUUAAAAAACAAUGUUAAGCAAUAACUGACAUACAUCUUUGUGUUUAUGUACCCAAAUAAAUAGAUAUGUUUUUUGUACCAAAAAAAAAAAAAAAAGAUAUGUUUUUUUUACCUUGAAAUAAUUUAUCCUUUAGAAAUGGAAAAAAAAAAAAAAAAAAAAGAUGACUAGUCCCAAUUUUUUUCAAGUUAUAGGAUUCAUUUGGCUAAUAGCUUUUUAUAAUUUUUUUUAAUAUUAUAAGAUAUAUUGAGGAACAUGCUAGUUUUUGUUCUUUUUUACCAUUUUUGUAUUUUAUUUAUAUAAAUAUAUCUUUCAUCUAUUUAUCACAAACCAUAGUCUUUCUUACUCACCAAUACAUUUCUCUCUUAUGGUUCUUUCUACUUUCAUUUUCUUCAUCAUGUCUUCUCCUUAUCUUCUAGUAAAUACUAUUGUUUCGAUCAUAUAAAAAACCUUUUGCAAUGUAUAUAUCUUCAAAAAAGACAUUGGGAGGGUUGAAGAACCAACCCAACCAUUUUUUUACUUGGCUAAUGAUCCUACUCGAAAGGUGACUCAUAUUUGUUAUGCGGAGCUUUUGAUCUCGUUGGCAUCUGAUAAAUAUUUUGAUUAUUAUCAUGAAUAUAAACUACUUGAGCCUAACAUGGAAGUACAAAACAUGUUUGUUAAACAAGAGUUUGAAUUAGAAUCACAUGAUUCUCCCCUUUAUGUUAAAUGGAUGUCGGCGAAGCACUAGGACUCAGUCAAGCAUUGUAGUGAAUGGCUAAUUUGUGUUUUGAUAGCACGAAUUGUUCUCUUGAUUCGAAGAUCGUCGUCAAUGCUUUUAAUGGUGAUAACAAUAAUAAUAACGAAUUUGGCAACAUUAUUCAUCAUUGUAAGUAACAUUUUUUUAACAACUCGAAAAUUUAGUUUAACCAGAGACAAUCAAAUGAUGUCGCUCAUAUAUUAGCACAUGUAGCCUCGUUAGAAGCUAGUUGUUAAGUUCUUACUGAUUAUCUUAUAAUUAUAUAAGUCAACAAAAAAUUGUUGUUGCUAAUUAAAAAGCUUAUGUCUCUUUCAAAAUCUAAACCUCGACAACCUCUUUUCCUAAGUAUGCAACGUGGCUAAACAAAAGUCAAAGUUCAAACAACCCAACUCGUGUUAUUUCUUUCUACAAAAAAAAGAAAAAAAGUAAAUCGAAGAACAAAAUCAGAACAACAACAAUAACAACAAAGUUCUCCAUUUCCAACACUUCCGAGAUCCCACUGAACUGAUCCACCACAGGUACAUCCUCCCUCUUCAGUUUCCCUUUCUCUCAUCUUCUGUUAAUAACUAUAGUAGUUUAUUUUUAUGUAAAUUCACUAUUACCCUCUAAUCUUUGGUCUAUUUAGUUUUUUGUUAAACUCAAAAUAUUAAUGAUGUUUUUUUUACGCUUACAAGAAUAAAAAGCAUGCAUUAAAUAAACUUUAGCCUUAAUUACAAUUUUAAUUUCUUUAUUUUUAUUUUUCAGUUAUUCAUGGAAUUGGGCGUCCCAUUUUAAUAUCAUUCAUUUGUUUAUCCCUCCAUCAAUUUUUUUUAAUUAAAAUUGGUGAUUUGAUAUAUUUUAAAUGAUGUGACAUUCUCUAAAAAAAAUAAAUUAUGUGACAUAUAACUUGAUAACGUGCCGUGGUCAACACUCAUGAAAUUAUAUAAUAACUCGUUAAAAACUUUAGUUUCAACUUUAGUAUAUCAUUUUUUAAGUACCAAAAUUUGAUUGAGGAACCAAAAUCUAGGAAAUCAAUUUCGUGAAUUACUGAAAAUGUAGAGGGAUCAAAACUGUAAUUAAAUAAAAAAAAAUUAUCAUUACUAAAUAAAUUAUGAGUAAAAAUGUCUAAACUUUAUUAUUUCUUACUAUAUGUUUUAAAAUAUUAAAGGACCGAUUAGCAGGGGUGGUUGAGAUAUUAUGUUUUCCAGCCCCCGUAUAAUAGGUUUCUAGAUCCGUCCUUAGGUCCAGUAGUGAUUGUCGUAUACCGCAAAAGGUUUAACUGUACUAAGCCAAAAAAUUUAAGAAGACUAGAAUAUAGUUAGUUUUAUAUUAACAUACUUUAGUGGUUGAAAGGAAUGAACUAGCUAUCAGAAUGAUAAUGAACUAGAAACUUAUAGGUUCCUCAUCAAAUAAAUCCUUAAAAAAAAAAACAUUAAAAAACAACUAAAAUAUACCUUUUAAAAAAAACUAUUCGAGCAUGCAUAAUUUUCUUUGGUAAAUAUAUGAUAAAAGGUUGCAUAAAUGUUUGAUAUGAUGAGAUGGAGAUUCAAACUCUUAAUUCCACAUUUCUCUAUGCUUAAUUUGUGUGUGAGUGUGAAUUUUGUUGUUAAAUAACAUAGUUUGAACGUAGACUUUUUGGAAGAAAAGAAAACGACAUAUAUAUUUUGAUCCUUCAACCACAAUUAAACUAUAUAUAGUGCCUUGGAAGUACAAGCGAAAGGUCUAAUAAUUUAUUUUAAUCGCAAUUGGUUGAUACAAAUAAUCCCAAAAUAUGAUGAUGUACCUUGAAGCCUUUUUGUUGUAUCUUUUGCACAUAUACCAUCAUCUAGGCAUUUCAUUUUUUCCUUCAGGGUCAAGCUAUCUCAUGGAGCUUCACAACCAUUUUUUUAAUAUCACCUUCAUUUCCUUCUUUAUCUUCCUCUUGGUGUUAUUCAAAAUAGUCAAAAUAUGGAGUUAUAACACUUCCACGGUUAAUUUGCCACCAGGACCAUGGAAACUACCCUUCAUAGGAAACUUACAUCAGAUUAUCAGCAGAUCAUUGCCCCAUCACCGUUUUAAAUUUUUGGCAGAUAAAUAUGGACCCUUGAUGUACCUGAAAUUAGGAGGGGUGCCAUACGUAAUAGUUAGUUCACCAGAAAUUGCCAAAGAGAUUAUGAAAACACAUGAUCUCAACUUUAGUGGUAGGCCAAACCUUCUUUUGUCUACAAUAUGGAGUUACAAUGCUACUGAUGUUAUAUUCUCGAUAUAUGGAGAACGGUGGAGGCAACUACGAAAGAUAUGUGUUAUAGAACUAUUAAGCGCAAAGCGUGUCCAAUCAUUUAGGUCUAUAAGAGAAGAUGAAGUGACAAAUCUUGUUAAAUCAAUAACUGCAAGUGAAGGAUCAGUUGUUAAUCUCACUCAGAAGAUUUUGUCAACGACAUAUGGGAUAACAGCGCGAGCGGCUUUUGGGAAAAGGAGCAAACACCAAGAAGUGUUUAGAUCAGCAAUAGAGGAAGUAGCAAGUUUGUUGGGAGGCGUUUGUAUUGUGGAUUUGUUUCCUUCUAUUAAAUUGCUUCAAUGCUUGAGUAGAGCGAAGACCAAAAUGGAAAAACUUCACAAAGAGCUUGAUAUGACAUUGCAAGACAUCAUCGACGAUCACAAAAGCAUUCACAAGGAAGAAAGCAAUGAUGAAGAUCUAGUAGAUGUUCUUCUCAAGAUUCAACAGGAAAAUUAUCACUCACAACAUCCUUUAACUGAUGACAAUAUAAAAUCAAUCAUCCAGGUUAGUCCACAACCAAAAUUGUAAGCAAGUUUAUUUCACAAUUUUAAAACUAGUCAGAUUUCCUAGAGGAAAAAAAACAAGAUUAUCUUGACUGUUAAUAGUAUUUUGGAGAGAACAUCAAAUUAAUGACUUAAUUUUUGGGUAGUGUUGUACGGAAGAAAAUGCAUGUUGAUUUAGAGAGUAGAUAGUGUUAAUGUUAAUCCAUUUGCAGGACAUGUUUGGUGCUGGUACUGAAACAUCGUCAGAGGCUGUGAUUUGGGCGAUGUCUGCGAUGGUAAAAAACUCAAAUGUAAUGGAACAAGCACAAGCUGAAGUAAGAAGAGUGUUUGAUAAAAAGGGAUAUGUGGAUGAGACAGAGUUGUACCAAUUGAUAUACUUAAAGUCUGUCAUCAAAGAAACAUUGAGGUUGUAUCCUGUUGCUCCAUUGUUAGUUCCAAGAGAAAGUAGGGAGAGAUGCCAAAUCAAUGGUUAUGAGAUUCCAGCCAAGACAAGGGUUGCUGUCAAUGCUUGGGCUAUUGGAAGAGAUCCAAGGUAUUGGGUUGAAGCUGAGAGUUUUAAACCUGAGAGGUUUGUUAAUAGCCCAAUUGAUUUCAAAGGCACGGACUUCGAAUUCAUACCAUUUGGUGCUGGAAGGAGGAUGUGUCCAGGUAUUGCAUUUGCCUUGCCCAAUGUUGAGCUGCCUCUUGCUAAGUUACUUUAUCACUUUGAUUGGAAGCUUCCCAAUGGAAUGAAGAAUGAAGAAUUGGAUAUGACUGAGUCAUUUGGGAUUACUGCAGGUAGAAAACACGAUCUAUGCUUAAUUCCUAUCCCUCGUCGUUUUUAAUAUGUAUUGUCUAAGCAAACAAGUUCAGAAACGAUGUUCCUAAUAAAAUUUGUAUUGGUUAUCUUUACAUAUAAGUUUCACCAGUGUAACAUUGAUGGAAAAAACAUUACAUUGAUGAAACAUGAGGAUAAUAUUACGUCGUUCAAUAACGUUUUACUCAAUACAUAUUUUAUAAAAUUGACUAUUGUAUUGAAUGUUUAUAUGGUAUAAACCACCUCUAUAAAUUUUUGCAUGAAUCUAAAUCAUUUCAUAUGCUAUUAAGGUGCAUAAAAAUUAACAUAAACGGAGGUGCAAAAUUUCAUAAAAGCUAUUGUUUAUAAUUUAUAUGAAUUAGCGCAAUAAGUAGAUGGAACAACAGGAGUGCCUCCUGUCUAAAUGCUAGUGAUUAAUAAAUAAUUUUAAUAAUCACUUAAUAGUUAACAUUUAAAAGAUAUUAAAAAUUGUACUUCUUUCGCGUAGUAGUUUAUGGCAUAUUCUCUUCCUUCCUUUUUCAUUUCUUGCUCUAUUUCUUUGUAAAGAUCUAAGAUUAUCCUGUAGAGAAACUUCAUAUAAUCUGGAAGAGUAUCCAAACAACUAAUAUCCCACCUGAAAUACUUUCAACAAAAUUAGAGAAAAAAAUGAAUAUAAAAAAAUGCAUCAUAUGUAUCAUCAAUCACAGUUACUAUGACGAUUAAUUUCGUCAUAUUUUUCUUGCUGUAGAAUAUUGAGGCUCAUGAUAUACCCCAAGUCCCCAAAAGCAACUCUCUGCUAUUCUAUCUCGUGCGUAUGGUAGUUUAUCGGGAACUUCCAAUUCCUUCCACCAUCUAUAAAGAUCAAGAACAAAAUUUAAGGAAAUAUUUUUUUUUUGGAUUUCUUAACAUGUACCCUAAGGGCAUAAGUUAACACUACCCUAAUAGUAAAUACAAAGUACGGUCUUUGAAGUAUAUUGAUUAUUUUCCUUUUCCUUACAAAAUAGUGUAUGGUUCGUUGAAGAUCUUACUUGUAAAAGUUACUAAAUUCCUUUUGAUGUAAACUUUGGAGCAUAUUGAAAUCUAGUUUUGCCAAAAUGAGUAAAUUUUUGUUAUGUGAAGGAUCUUGCUCAUAUAUAGAAAUGUAGUUUCGUGCCUCCAACCUAGGCAAGUUUUUAUGGAGGGUCUGCCUUAAGCAAUGUUUGACUUGUAAUGCUUGAGGAUGAGGAUGGUUCAAUUGCUUGGUAAUAGACUCAAGGUGAGUGGUAGUGAAAACCAAGGCCUCUUCCAAAAUGUCCUCUCCAUGAACCAUGACAUGUGUGGCUUCAUAAAAGCUUAAAAUCCCCUCAACAUUUGUAAUAAAUUUUUGACUAAAGUUUCCUUGCUCAUCCUUGAAUUUGUUGAAUACAUCUAGUAUUUUUUUAUAACCAACCACAGAAUUGAACAAACCGCACUUAGCGACAAUGAGAUUUUAGAUAAUUAAAGCAAGAACUAAUCAUCAAGAUUCGAUAUUUCUUAAAAAAAAAAAAAAAAAAAAAACUAGGUAAUAACAAGUUGUGAAGUGGUAUGAGGUGAACAUGCUAUAAUAAAUCAUAAGAGGCAUGACUCCCGAAGCGAUAAGAGGUUGUGAUAAUAGAAACUCUUAAUGAGAUCUAUACUCUAUGUGGAGUGUAGUAUCUAGCUACAAGAGUACUCUUGAUAGACUCACAUUUGUGAAUGUGGAAGUGGGGCCCCCUUCCUAUGGAAUUCUAGACAAAAUUCCUAGAGCCUCAUUAAACCGGAAUUGAUUUGCAGAGCCUUUAAUGCAUGAACUUUUUGAGAAUACACCUAAGAAAAGGUUGUCUAUGGUUUGAUGUCAGAAAUAGAGUUCAAGACUACGAGUCACUCUAGUAAAAUAUGAAUCUUAUUCAGUACGCAAAGGUUCAAGUCAUAAGACACCCUUGCUUAUGAACAAUUUUAGAAGGCAAAGGUUCAAGUCGUAAAACACCUUUGCUUAUAAAAUAUUAAUAGAAACAUCAUUUUUAAAUUCAAGUGGGGGAUUGUUGGAACACUAUAUGUGUUUGUAUGUGAAUUGAAAAAUUCCUAUGUCUCAUAUAAAAUAGAUUAUACACAAUACUAGUGUUUUUUUUGUCAAGUAGUCUAGUGGCUAGAGCUCACACAAUUUAAUUGUGGAGAAGUGGAGUGUCCGGGGUUCGAACUCCGACCCCUGCAUAUAAAAUGCAAUAUCCCUACCAACUGUUACUAUACAUCAUUGUAAAAUAAAAUAUGUAUUUGUUCAAUCACAUCUUAUAACAAUAAAUGAUUAUGGUGAUCAAAAUGUUAUAAAUUGGUAUAACAAAGUGACAAAAUAAAGAGUUGUUCAAGACUUUUGUUGAGGUAUGUAGAAUAAUUUUUACGUCGAGAGUACAUAUUAAUUCAACAAAAUUAGUAUUAUGUUAUUAUUAUUUUUAUUAUACAUAUACUCACAUAUACUCCAAUCCAUUAGUAUCACUUAGCUCUAUUUUUAACUUACUUUAAGUAGAUAAUACCGUUAAUUGGUGUAGAGUUUUGUAGGUUUACUCAAAAAUAGAAAGUUGGGUACCUUGACUUGAAUAGUUGAAUUGAUAUGAUCUUAUUUUUUCUAACUUUUUCUAUAAAAUCAUAUUUAUCAGAUUCUAACUCCAACAUUCAAGAAACAUAUCAAAUCAAAUUACUGUGGAGGAAAGCUUAAUUGACUACCUUUUGCUGGUUUUACAACACAAUAAUUAAUAAAAAUAACGGCACAUGAGAUAUCUUUUAAGUAAAAUUCUAAUAAGUGUUUUUUGAACACUAGUUUUAAAAAAUUAAUAUAAUAUCUUAAUACUGGUUUAACCAAAGUUUUAAAAAUAUAAAAAACAAUAUUUUUAAUUUAAUAAUUUUCUUUUUUGGUUCUUUAACUAAUGUCACAUAGACACUAGUUAACAUUAUCAUAUUUAAUUUUGAUUUGAGAACAUGCCACAUGCAUAAAAAUUGUAUGGUAGCCAAACAAUAGUUUGCAUGAGAACGAUAGCCGAAUAAAAAAUGUUAAUUUCAUCAUAUGCUCCGAAGGCUGUGCUCUUGUUCUUUAUUGCUAUCCAUCAAAUCAAAGAAUUUAAAUAGCGAAUUUUCAUUUUCGUAUAAUUUGCCAGCGUGCCUAUCAAACAAAAGUAUGUCUUGAAUUUUCAUUUAUUUUAAGGAAAAAGUAUGUCUUGAAAUUGUCAACGUGAUUACAAAUGAUAAAUAAAAUUUCUCAAAAUUACUUACUAUUAAUUGAUCCUAUACAAAAAUGCACACAUGAAGAUAGUCUUGUAUAUAUCUAUAUAUCUAUAUGCGAUGACUAGGAAAUAAAGCAAAUGCUUCACUUUGCUAUUUAUGAAAUGAGCAACUGUAUAUAAUGAAGUUUUAAUUUUGUUCACUAAUACUAGAAUAUGUCAUUACAUUUAAUUCAUAAACACUCUAAAAUUAUUGCAUUUUAUAAAUUAGGAGACUAAAUUAAGGGAACAAAUAUACCUACAAAUUGCAGAAUUAUGACCCACAUUAAACCUGCUAUAUGAUCAAGCGAAAGGUGUAAUAAUAUAUUUUAAUCGCAAUUGGUUAAUACAAAUACAAAAUAUAUUACAAAUGGAAGUAUGAGUCAGCCUCAAAUUGAUGUAUGUAGUAGUAUCAAUUUAAUAAGCCAAACAACUCAAUGAUUGCAAACUAAUUAUCAAUAUGAUUUUGAUUAAUUAAUUUAAUGGUUAGAAUUCACGUGUUAAGAUGAAAAAGUAGGGUUUUAUUUUUUAUUUUUUUUAUGUACAUCAUAUUUUUCAAAUUUUAUGUCAUGUGGAUAAUUUUAUAAAUUUUUUAAAAUAUAAUCAAUUUUAUAUAAGAACAAAAAAUUGUGUAUUAUUUAACAAAAUUAUCCUUCAUUAACGUGAUUUUUUUUUUCAUUAACGUGAUAGAAAAUAGGGGCGGUUAUGCACAUACUUUUUUUUUCAUAUAAUAAAAAAAGAGAAAUGAUAUAUGAACAAUCAUUUUUACAAUUUUUGUGACAACUUUCUUUCUCAUACUCACAUUAUCUUUGUACUUUCUCUCUCUAUUACUUUGGUUUUUGUGUCAAUACCUCAUUUCCUUUGUAAAAUUUUGGUUGUCACAAAAAUUGUCACAUAUAUGGAUAUUCAAAUAACACAACUCAUAAAAAAAAUAUUAUUCUCGUAGUUGAUGGAAGGAAAAAAUAUUAUAUUUUUCGUUGUAUUCUGCUUUAGAUCUAAUUGUAUCUCUUUGCUAAUAUUUAUUAAUUUUGUUUAGUAUUAUUAUUAGUAUUGAAACUGCAGAUUGUCACGUAAGUCUUUUGCACAACCAUCUUUCUUGGCAUAUCUUUUCUUACUCCAGGGUCAAGCUAUCUCAUGGAGCAUCACAACCAUCUUUCUAAUAUUACCUUCAUUUCCUUCAUUAUCUUCCUCUUGGUGUUAUUCAAAAUAGUCAAAAUAUGGAGUUAUAACACUUCCACGGUUAAUUUGCCACCAGGACCAUGGAAACUACCCUUCAUAGGAAACUUACAUCAGAUUAUCAGCAGAUCAUUGCCCCAUCAUCUCUUCAAAAUUUUGGCAGAUAAAUAUGGACCUCUAAUGCACCUUAAACUAGGAGAGGUACCAUACGUAAUAGUUAGUUCACCAGAAAUUGCCAAAGAGAUUAUGAAAACACAUGAUCUCAACUUUUGUGAUAGGCCAAACCUUCUUUUGUCUACAAUAUUUAGUUACAAUGCUACUGAUGUUAUAUUUUCGAUGUAUCGAGAAUGGUGGAGGGAACUACGAAAGAUAUGCGUUAUAGAACUAUUAAGUGCAAAGCGCAUCCAAUCAUUUAGGUCUAUAAGAGAAGAUGAAGUGACAAAUCUUGUUAAAUCAAUAACUUUUAAGUGAAGGAUCAGUUGUUAAUCUCAGUGAGAAGAUUUUCUCAAUGACAUAUGGGAUAACAGCGAGGGCGGUUUUUGGGAAAAGGAAUAGACACCAAGAUGUGUUCAUACCAGCAUUGGAGAAAGUAGUGGUGCUAUUAGGAAGAUUUGAAAUUGCAGAUUUGUAUCCUUCUAUUAAAUUGCUUCAAUGGAUGACUAGGGAGAAGACCAAAAAUGUUAUAUUUUAAAUAAGAAACUUUGUUGAAGAAGUUAUUUCAAAAAUCUAGCAUUAAAGUUGUUUAAUGCUGAAAAUGAUUGAAGUAUAAAUAUGAGAAUUUUUUCUGACCCCAAACGUUUAAAAAAAAAAAAAAGUGUCUAUACUUUGUUCAGAUUUAAUGAUAAAAACACGUUUGUCAUAAAAAUGGUUCACCGGUGAUAAGUUCGCAAGAUGUGUCUUAUAACAUAAAAAACAUAAUGCUAUGUUUGCCGGUUAUUUUUACAACAGAAGCAUUUUUAUCAUUAAAUCUUAACAAAGACUAAAAGAGCAUACACAUGCAUUAUUAUUUUUUGUUUGGGGGUUAGAAAAAAAAAUCUAAAUAUGAAAAAGAACAUUCUUAGAGAAUCUUUGCAAAAAGGGUAGAUUAAAAGCUUGUUGAAUCCAAUUAAUUUUCCAGCACCAUAUCAAAGUUUUCAUUUAGACCAAUGAGAGAGAGCUCCACAAAGCAUCAUUAACAAAAAUGGUAUUGUUUCACGAGUUUGAAAGACUUUUUGGUAUUUUUUUCACGUUCACAUGACACCAAAAGACAAAAAUGUACUACCAUACCACUUUUAGAAAUUUUUAGGUGGCAACGUAAAAGAAGAUAUCUUUCUGACGAGUUUUACACGACGUUUGAAGGUUAUGUUUGCAUAGAACCCCAACUUCAAUUGAUAAUAUAUAUAAUGAAAGCUCAACAGACAUAAGCAUAAGGUGUUUUGGAAAUUUGUCCAUAAUCCAAAAAUAAUUCAGAUUUUUUAUUCCGGUAAGGAUGAUUGAUUGGGUGAUAAUAAUGACAUAUAAUUACAAGUCUACCUAAACCCUAUUUUUUAUUCUUGUGUAGUGGUUGUUUUAUUUUGACUCCACAAGCACACCUUGUUCUUCAUGUGUGUGUGUCUUUUUAUUAAAUUGCUUUGGAUUGGAUGGUAUCAAUAUUUUUAAUUAUAUGUGAUUAUUGGAGCUCCUAUUUUUGACCACACAAGGCACACCUUAUUCCUUCAUGUGUGUCUUUAUUAAACUGCUUUGUAUUGCAAAUAUAUAAAAAUAUUAAAAAACAGGCACAUGGUUGGUGCAAGGUGAAAAUGUUAUUUAUAAUAUUUCUUUACAUUAGAACGUGUAUCUUAAUGUUAAUACUGUAUUGAUUUUAUAUUAGUAUUUAGUUGUGUAUUAAUUAACAUGUCUGCAUUGUAUUGAAAUUGCAAGUGAUCGAAUUUUGAGCGUUUUGAAGAGAAACCUUGUUUGUCAAGGCACUCUUUGGAUUCUUUAGAUCAAACAACCAACAUGGAGCUUCACAACCCUUUUUCUAAUAUCAUCUUCAUGCUCUCCUUUCUCAUCCUCUUAGUGCUAUUCAAAAUAGUUAAAAGAUGGAGUUUUAACAAUUCCACUACCAAAUUGCCACCUGGACCAUGGGAACUACCCCUCAUAGGAAACUUACAUCAGAUUAUCAGCAGAUCAUUGCCCCAUCACCGCUUCAAAAUUUUGGCUGAUAAAUAUGGACCUUUAAUGCACCUUAAACUAGGAGAGGUACCAUACAUAAUAGUUAGUUCACCAGAAAUUGCCAAAGAGAUUAUGAAAACACAUGACCUUACCUUUAGUGAUAGGCCAAACCUUCUUUUGGCCACAAUAUUAACUUACAAUGCUACUGAUGUUAUAUUCUCUAAAUAUGGAGAACGGUGGAGGCAACUACGAAAGAUAUGUGUUGUAGAGCUAUUAAGUGCAAAGCGUGUCCAAUCAUUUAGGUCCACAAGAGAAGAUGAAGUAUCAAAUCUUGCUACAUCAAUAACUGCAAGUGAAGGAUCAAUUGUUAAUCUCACUCAUAAGAUUUUCUCAAUGACAUAUGGGAUAACAACGCGGGCGGCUUUUGGCAAAAGGAGCAAACACCAGCAAUCGUUUAAAUCAGCAGUAGAGGAAAUAGUAAGUUUGUUGGGAGGCAUUUGUAUUGUUGAUUUGUAUCCUUCUAUUAAAUUGCUUCAAUGCGUGAGUAGGGCGAAGGCCAAAAUGGAAAAACUUCACAAAGAGAUUGAUAUGAUAUUGCAAGACAUUAUCGACGAUCACAAAAGCAUUCACAAGGAAGAUAGCAAUGAAGAAUAUCUAGUAGAUGUUCUUCUCAAGAUUCAACAGGAAAAUUAUCACUCACAACAUCCUUUAACCGAUGACAAUAUAAAGUCAAUCAUCCAGGUUAGUCAACAAUCAAAAGUGUUAGAAAGUUUAUUUCAAAAUUAAAAACUAGUUUAUAAAUUUGCAUAUAUGCUUAGAAGUCAGAUUUCCUAGAGGAAGAAAAUAAGAUUAUCUUGAUUAAUAAUAGUAUUUUGGUGAGAACAUCAUAUUAAUGACUUAACUUUUGUUUAGAGAAAUAGAUCGUGUUAAUGUUAAUCCAUUUGUAGGACAUAUUCGAUGCUGGUACCGAAACAUCGUCAACGACUGUGUUAUGGGCGAUAUCUGAGAUGGUAAAGAAUCCAAAGGUGAUGGAAGAAGCACAAGCUGAGGUAAGAAGAGUUUUUGAUAGGAAGGGGUUUGUGGAUGAGACAGAGUUGCACCAAUUGAUAUACUUAAAAUCUGUGAUCAAGGAAACAAUGAGGCUACAUCCAACCGUACCGUUGUUACUUCCAAGAGAAAGUAGGGAGAGAUGCCAAAUCAAUGGGUAUGAAAUCCCAGCUAAGACAAGGGUCAUGGUUAAUGCUUGGGCUAUUGGAAGAGAUCCAAGGUAUUGGGUUGAUGCUGAAAGUUUUAAACCUGAGAGGUUUGUUAAUAGUCCAAUUGAUUUCAAAGGCACAGACUUUGAAUACAUACCAUUUGGUGCUGGAAGAAGGAUGUGUCCCGGAAUUGCAUUUGCCUUACCCAACGUUGAAUUGCCUCUUGCUAGUUUACUUUACCACUUUGAUUGGAAGCUUCCCAAUAAAAUGAAGAAUGAAGAACUAGAUAUGACCGAGUCAUUUGGGAUUACUGCAGGUAGAAAGCACAAUCUAUGCUUAAUUCCUAUUACUCGUCGUCUUUAAUAUGUAUUGUCUAAGCAAACAAGUUCAGAAACGACGUUCCUAAUAAAAUUUGUAUUGGUUAUCUUUACGUAUAGGUUCACUAUAUGUUGUCUAAAAUUUGUGUAUGAUAUUUGUUCCACAAACAAAUAUAGAAUUUAUGUUGAAAGGAAGUUGCGAACUAUUUGUACAGUAUUGUGUAAUACAUUAACCAGAGAAGAAUCUUUUCCUUGACUGCCAAGGAAGAAAUCCACCUAAAAUCGAUAGCAUAUGAAGAAUGAAGAAGGGUUGUGAGGCAAUCAACAUCACACAAGUAACUUACCUUAAAAAAAUAGAGAAACAAUAAAUCAAUGAGAAGUAAUUAACAAUGCUUAUAUAGGACCAUAAUCAUAAAUAUAUAAAAAUGCUAAAUCCAUAUUAAUGGUUAUGAAAUCUAAUUCUUCCUCUCUGUUAAUCUUGUACUUUACACUAAUAGUGGUAGCUUUCCCUAUAUGGGUCUUAUAACAAUAACAUAAAAAACAUAAUGCUAUGUUCGCCAGUUCAUUUUUACAACAGAAGCAUUUGUAUCAUUAAAUCUAAAUAUGAAAAAGAACAUUCUUGGAGAAUCUUUGCAAAAAGGGUAGAUUAAAGGCUUGUUGAAUCCAAUGAAUUUUCCAGCACCAUUUCAAAGUUUUCAUUUAGUCCAAUGAGAGAUCAACAAUGCAUCAUUUACAAAAAUUGUAUAUUGAGAAUGUGAUAUAUAUAUAUACACGAUGCAAUAAACACUUGCCAACUGUAUUUUGAAAUCUUCGCUAUGCUAUCUCUCGCUGUAAAUAGCAUUUUCCUAUAAUUAAUUUGGCAUAAAAGUCUAAUCAUGAUUAUGUUUCGUGUGAUACAUGAGUGCUUGGAAAGAUUAGUGUUAGGAAAGAGUGAUAUUACAAAUGAGUGAAUCAACCCACUAAUGGGAUGGUUACAACCAUAUAUACUACUACAAGACUAAUACUAAUUGUGUCUAAACUAUAUCUCUAAUAAUUAGUGAUAGUUGAGAUGAAAGUUUUCUCAACUAUCAGAUCUUCUUUCUUAGAUCACCCUUUGAUCUUUACAUAAGAAAAAUGCUAUUUACAGCGAGAGAUAACAUAGCGAAGAUUUCUAGAUACAGUUGGCAAGUGUUUAUUGCAUCGUGUAUUUGUUUACUUCCUAUUUUUCAGCCACACCUCCUUGAAUUGUGUCAAAUAGCACAUUGUGAUUGGCUGCUCUUUAUUCUUGAAGAGAUCGUGAUGUUAUUUUUCUAGAGAUAUAGCAUUGCUCUUAAUUAUGUUCGCAUAGUAGCCCUGUCUCUUUUGAGGCAAGGGCGAGGGUUUGGUUGUUGCUCUCGUAGUUGCACUCUUAUCCUUUGAAGUUGAUAAAUGAAACCAACUUCAAUUGACAACAUAAUGAAAGCUCAACAGACAUAAGCAUAAGGUGUUUUGGAAAGUGGCCAUAGUCCAAAAUUAAUUCAGUUUUUUUUUUUAUUUCUUUUCCGGUAAGAAUGAUUGAUUUGGUGAUAAUGACAUGACAUAUAAUUACAAGUCUAACAAGACCCUAUUUGAAAAAAGAUAGAUUACCAAAUGGAGUGCUGAAAUCACUAGUGUCUUUUGGUUUAACUAUGUAGUGUUACUAUUAAUUUUUACUAUUUUUACACUAAGCUCUUCAAAAUGUUAGUGGAUGAUUUUUUCAUGUGCAUAAUACAAAAAAUAUGAAAUUUGCAUGAGUCAGCCUAAAAUUGAAAGGAUCAAUUUAAUAAGCCCUUGAAGACGGGAAGAUGACAAUCGAGUCUGGCAUGGUGUGCUGCAAUUUAAUUAACUCUUAAUCGCAAAUUAUUAAUGUGAUGGUGUUGUUUGUUUUAUUUUGACUCCACUAAGUACACCUUGUUCUUUAUAUGUGUGUGUCUUUCUACUAAGUUGCUUUGGAUUGGAUGGUAUCAAUAUUUUUUAAGUAUAUGUGCUUAGGUUGUUCUAUUUUUGACCACACAAAGCACACCUUAUGAUUCAUGUGUGUCUUUAUUAAAUUGCUUUGCAUAUAUUAAAAGAAAUAAAAAUAAACAACAGGCACAUGGUUGGUGCAAGGAGAAAAUGUUAUUUAACAUGUCUGCAUUAUAUUGAAAUUGCAAGUGAUCUAAUUUUGAGUGUUUUGCAUAGAAAUCUUCUUUGUCAAGGCACUCUUCAGAUUCUCUAGAUCAAGCUACCAUCAUGGAGCUUCAAAAUCCUUUUUCGAAUAUCAUCUUCAUUCUCUCCUUUCUCAUCCUCUUAGUUCUAUUCAAAAUAGUUCAAAGAUGGAGUUUUAACAAUUCGACUACCAAAUUGCCACCAGGACCAUGGAAACUACCCCUCAUAGGAAACUUACAUCAGAUUAUCAGCAGAUCAUUGCCCCAUCAUCUCUUCAAAAUUUUGGCAGAUAAAUAUGGACCUCUAAUGCACCUUAAACUAGGAGAGGUACCAUACGUAAUAGUUAGUUCACCAGAAAUUGCCAAAGAGAUUAUGAAAACACAUGAUCUCAACUUCUGCGACAGGCCAAACCUUCUUUUGUCCAAUAUAUAUAGUUACAAUGCUACAGACAUUGCCUUCGCUGCAUACGGUGAACAUUGGAGGCAAUUACGAAAGAUAUGUGUUAUAGAGCUAUUAAGUGCAAAGCGUGUACAAUCAUUUAGGUCCAUAAGAGAAGAUGAGGUGUCAAACCUUGUUAAAUCAAUAACUGCAAGUGAAGGAUCAGUUGUUAAUCUCACUCGGAAGAUUUUCUCAAUGACAAAUGGGAUAACAGCGCGGGCAGCUUUUGGGAAAAGGAAUAGACACCAAGAUGUGUUCAUACCAGCAUUGGAGAAAGUAGUGGUGCUAUUAGGAAGAUUUGAAAUUGCAGAUUUGUAUCCUUCUAUUAAAUUGCUUCAAUGGAUGACUAGGGAGAAGACCAAAAUGGAAAAACUUCAUACAGAGAUUGAUAUGAUAGCACAAGACAUCAUCGACGAUCACAGAAGUAUUCACAAGGAAGCAAGCAAUGAUGAAGAUCUAGUAGAUGUUCUUCUCAAGAUUCAACAGGAAAAUUAUCACUCAGAACAUCCUUUAACCGAUGACAAUAUGAAAUCAAUCAUCCAGGUUAGUCUAAACCGAAAGUGUUAGCAAGUUUAUUUCACAAUUUAAAAACUAGUUUACAAAUUUGCAUACGCUUAGAAGUCAGAUUUCUAGAGGAAAAAUAAAUAAGAUUAUCUUGAUUAAUAAUGCUCAUUCCGUCCCUAUAUCUAAGCAGUAAGCACCCUUUUAUUAGAGGGAAAGGGUGCUUACAUACAGGGACGGGGGGAGUAGUAUUUUGGAGAGACGUCAAAUUAAUGACUUAACUAUUGGGUAGCGUUGUAUGUAAUGUUAAUGUUAAUCCAUUUGUAGGACAUGUUCCUUGCUGGUACCGAAACAUCGUCACAGGUUCUGUUAUGGGCGAUGUCUGAGAUGGUGAAGAACCCAAAGGUAAUGGAAGAAGCACAAGAUGAAGUAAGUAGAGUGUUUGAUAAAAAGGAGUAUGUGGAUGAGACAGAGUUGCACCAAUUGAUAUACUUAAAGUCCGUCAUCAAAGAAACAUUGAGGUUGCAUCCCGUUGCACCAUUGUUAGUUCCAAGAGAAAGUAGGGAGAGAUGCCAAAUCAAUGGGUAUGAAAUCCCAGCUAAGACAAGGGUAAUGGUUAAUGCUUGGGCUAUUGGAAGAGAUUCAAGGUAUUGGGUUGAAGCUGAGAGUUUUAAACCUGAGAGGUUUGUUAAUAGUCCAAUUGAUUUCAAAGGCACGGACUUCGAAUUCAUACCAUUUGGUGCUGGAAGAAGGAUGUGUCCAGGUAUUUCAUUUGCCAUACCCAAUGUUGAGCUGCCUCUUGCUAAGUUACUUUAUCACUUUGAUUGGAAGCUUCCCAAUGGAAUGAGCCAUCAAGAACUUGAUAUGACUGAGUUUUUUGGGAUUACUGUAGGUAGAAAACACGACCUAUGUUUAAUUCCUACUACUCGUCGUCUUUAAUGUGUAUUAUCUAAGCAAACAAAUUCAAAAACAAUGUUCCUAAUAAAAUUUGUAAUGGUAAACUUUACAUAUAGGUUUACUAUAUGUCGUCUAAAAUUUGUGUAUGAUUGUACCACAAAUAUAGAAUAUGUGUCCAAGCAUUGCAUUUGGUUUAGCCAAUGUUGAACUGCGUCUUGCUGAAUUACUUUAUGACUUUGAUUGAAAGCUUUCCAAUGGAAUGAAUAAUGAAGAACAGUCGUUUGGGCUGACAGUCGGAAGAAAACACGACCUAUGUUCGUUUCCUAUUACAGGUUGUCUAUAAUAUUUGUAUUGUGCACUGCCUUUCAAAAAGAAAUAUUUGUAUUGUCUAACCAAAGAAGUUCACAAUGUGGUUAAUUAAUUACUUAUACUACUUUCUGCAAGGCGUCGUGUAAUUCGUUGUUCACAUUUUUAUUAAGAUUCUACGUUUGACAUUAGAUAACUUGAAAAUCCUGGGAUUUCUUCGGUUAAUCAGUUUGUUCCAACUCCUUCAUCAAAUCAAGAUAUGCCAAAGCAUUUGCAUCAUUUUGCACGCCUAUUUUAGUAUGUUUAAUUUGUAAGGAUUAAGAUUUCUCUCUCGGUUUUCUAUGUAGGACCACGAGAAAGAUGCAACUAAUUUCAUUUUUGUGUCAUGUCUCACUUGGUUCUCAGCAUUUGCAAACAUGCAUGUCGGUAAGUAUGUACGAGCAUGAAACAUUAUUCUUGUUAUUCAUUGCCUAUCCAAAAUAAAUAAAUAAAAUAGUUUUUGUAUUCUUUAAUGGGAAAUGCUAAUUAACUUGUCUAUUUAUGAAAUCUUUAACAUGAGUCAUAAGGGUACAAGUUAACAAGACCCUUCAUUAAUUUACCAAGCUUGUUUAAUGUUUUAACUUCAGGGGACACACAAGGAAUGCGGUGAAAGGAAUUUAGCAACAAAUUCAAAAUUCUUUGUGCUUUUGUACCCAAAUAAAUAGAUAUGUUUUUUUUACCUGAAAUCAUUAAAAUUUCAGGUAACGAUAAGUUAAUUAUUAAAGGAGUAAUGCUAGCAACACUCUUUUGAACACACUCUUUAAUACUACAUUUCUUAUUGGUUUAAAUCAUUGUGAGUCUACACUUUGAAAAUUGAACCUACACAAAGUGAUGGGACAUACAUUAAUUUCAUCUAAUAAAAGAGUGGAUGCUACAAAGAGUGUUCAAAAAUAAAUGUUUCUAACAUUACUAUUAUUGAUGUGUUGCCUCUUAUCUCAUUUUAAUAAAAAUCUCACCACUAGUUCAUAUACUUUACCACUAGUUUCUCACACUACACAUUCUAACACUAGGGUUUAUAAUAUCAUUCUGAUUCACGAACUAGUUAAAAGAUGUUGUUUUUUCAAGGGCGAGGGUUUGGUUGUUGCUCUCUUAGUUGCACUCUUAUCCUUUGAAGUUGAUAAAUAAAUGAAACCAAUUACUUCGAUUGAUUAUGAAAGCUCAAAAGACAUAAGUAUAAGGUGUUUUGGAAAGUGGCCCAUAGACCAAAAUUAAUUCAGAUUUUUUUUCCGGUAAGGGUGAUUGAUUUGGUAAUAAUGACAUAUAAUUACAAGUCUAGCAAGACCCUAUUUGAAAAUGAUAGAUUACCAAAUGGAGUUUAUCUGAAAUCACUAGUGUCUCUUGGUUUAACUAUGUAGUGCUAUUAUUAAUUCUUACAAAUAAUUUAUUUGACAUAAUGACCGAAGUAAAUAAUACAUUAAGCUCUUCAAAAUGUUUGUGGAUGAUUUUUUCAUGUGCAUAAUACAAAAAAUAUAAUUCCACAAAAAAAUUGAUAGGAUCAAUUCAAUUUAAUAAGCCCUUGAAGGAAGAUGACAAUCGAGUCUGACAUGGCGUGCUGCAAUUUAAUUAACUCUUAAUCGCAAAUUAUUAAUAUGAUGGUGUUGGACGUUUCAUUUUGACUCCACAAAGUACACCUUAUUCUUCAUGUGUGUCUUACUUUUUAUUAAAUUGCUUUGGACUGGUUGUUCUAUUUUUUACCACACAAAGCACACCUUAUGCUUCAUUUGUGUCUUUAUUAAAUUGCUUUGCAUAUAUUAAAAAAUAAUAAUAAACAACAGGCACAUGUUUGGUGCAAGGAGAAAAUGUUAUUUAACAUGUCUGCAUUAUAUUGAAAUUGCAAGUGAUCUAAUUUUGAGUGUUUUGCAUAGAAAUCUUCUUUGUCAAGGCACUCUUCAGAUUCUCUAGAUCAAGCUACCAUCAUGGAGCUUCAAAACCCUUUUUCGAAUAUCAUCUUCAUGCUCUCCUUUCUCAUCCUCUUAGUUCUAUUCAAAAUAGUUCAAAGAUGGAGUUUUAACAAUUCCACUACCAAAUUGCCACCAGGACCAUGGAAACUACCCCUCAUAGGAAACUUACAUCAGAUUAUCAGCAGAUCAUUGCCCCAUCACCUCUUCAAAAAGUUGGCAGAAAAAUAUGGACCUUUGAUGCACCUUAAACUAGGAGAGGUACCAUAUGUAAUAGUUAGUUCACCAGAAAUGGCAAAAGAGGUUAUGAAAACACAUGACCUUACAUUUUGUGAUAGGCCAAACCUUCUUUUGUCAACAAUAUGGAGUUACAAUGCUACAAAUAUUGUCUUCGCUACAUACUGUGAACAUUGGAGGCAAGUACGAAAGAUAUGUGUUAUAGAGCUAUUAAGUGCAAAGCGUGUCCAAUCAUUUAGGUCCAUAAGAGAAGAUGAAGUGACAAAUCUUGUUAAAUCAAUAACUGCAAGUGAAGGAUCGGUUGUAAAUCUCACUCGGAAGAUUUUCUCAAUGACAAAUGGGAUAACAGCGCGGGCAGCUUUUGGGAAAAGGAAUAGAAACCAAGAUGUGUUCAUAUCAGCAAUGGAGAAAGUAUUGGUGCUAUUAGGAGGAUUUGAAAUUGCAGAUUUGUAUCCUUCUAUUAAAAUGCUUCAAUGCAUGAGUAGGGAGAAGACCAAAAUGGAAAAAAUUCAUAGAGAGCUUGAUAUGAUAAUGCAAGACAUCAUCGACGAUCACAGAAGCAUUCACAAGGAAGCAAGCAACGAUGAAGAUCUAGUAGAUGUUCUUCUCAAGAUUCAACAGGAAAAUUAUUACUCAGAACAUCCUUUAACCGAUGACAAUAUGAAAUCAAUCAUCCAGGUUAGUCUAAAACCAAAAGUGGUAGCAAGUUUAUUUCACAAUUUAAAAACUAGUUUAUAAAUUUGCAUAGCUUAGAAGUCUGAUUUCUAGAGGAAAAAUAAUUAGGAUUAUCUUGAUUAAUAAUAGUAAUUUGGAGAGAACAUCAAAUUAAUGACUUAACUUUUGGGUAGCGUUGUACGUAAUGUUAAUGUUAAUCCAUUUGUAGGAUAUGUUCAUUGCUGGUACCGAAACAUCGUCAGAGGUAUUGUUAUGGGCGAUGUCUGAGAUGGUAAAGAACCCAAAGGUAUUGGAAGAAGCACAGAUUGAAGUAAGAAGAGUGUUUGAUAAAAAGGGGUAUGUGGAUGAGUCAGAGUUGCACCAAUUGAUAUACUUAAAGUCUGUCGUCAAAGAAACAUUGAGGUUACAUCCCGUUGCACCAUUGUUAAUUCCAAGAGAAAGUAUGAAGCCAUGCCAAAUUAAUGGGUAUGAAAUCCCAGCUAAGACAAGGGUAAUGGUUAAUGCUUGGGCUAUUGGAAGAGAUUCAAGGUAUUGGGUUGAAGCUGAGAGUUUUAAACCUGAGAGGUUUGUUAAUAGCACAAUUGAAUUCAAAGGCACGGACUUCGAAUUCAUACCAUUUGGUGCUGGAAGGAGGAUGUGUCCCGGAAUUGCAUUUGCCCUACCAAACAUUGAGCUACCUCUUGCUCAAUUACUUUGCCACUUUGAUUGGAAGCUUCCCAAUAAAAUGAAGAAUGAAGAACUAGAUAUGACCGAGUCAUUUGGGAUUACUGUAGGAAGAAAGCACGAUCUAUGUUUAAUUCC
rnacentral:lncRNA from 1 species